CAUGAAAUGAAUAUUGGAUAUAAAGAUUAUCUUUUGGUAUUAAUACUGCAUCCAUCACUAAUAAUUAAGUUUUAAUAAGCUUGCUGACUAUUUGUGACAUAA